CUGAUCUGACGAUAAACACAGGAAGUGGCCAUAGGAACUCUGUGAUAAAACAACGCAACCUAAUUGGGUUUUUAGAAUUGUCUCGAUGAGUAUUAGUUGUCUGUCGUAAGAAAAGUACA